CCUACGGGAGACAGCAGUGAGGAAUAUUGGUCAAUGGACGAGCGUCUGAACCAGCCAAGUAGCGUGAAGGAUGACUGCCCUAUGGGUUGUAAACUUCUUUUAUAUGGGAAUAAAAUGUUCCACGUGUGGGAUUUUGUAUGUACCAUAUGAAUAAGGAUCGGCUAACUCCGUGCCAGCAGCCGCGGUAAUACGGAGGAUCCGAGCGUUAUCCGGAUUUAUUGGGUUUAAAGGGAGCGUAGGUGGAUUGUUAAGUCAGUUGUGAAAGUUUGCGGCUCAACCGUAAAAUUGCAGUUGAAACUGGCAGUCUUGAGUACAGUAGAGGUGGGCGGAAUUCGUGGUGGAGCGGUGAAAUGCUUAGAUAUCACGAAGAACUCCGAUUGCGAAGGCAGUUCACUGGACUGCAACUGACACUGAGGCUCGAAAGUGUGGGUAUCAAACAGGAUUAGAUACCCGUGUAGUC
rnacentral:rRNA from 1 species